rnacentral:lncRNA from 1 species
GUGAUUGAAUUAGCCUGUGGUGUGGCCUGGGCUUCAGAACUUUUUAAAAGCCCUCCAGUGAUUCUAAGGUGCAGGCAAGAUCGGUAAGCUCCAAGAAUAAAGCCCUUUGGGACCUCCACUUAACAUAUGGGAAGAUUAGCCCUGAGUUAACUACUGCCAAUCCUCCUCUUUUUGCUGAGGAAGACUGGCCCUGAGCUAACAUCUGUGCUCAUCUUCCUCUACUUUAUAUGUGGGACGCCUACCACAGCAUGGCUUUUGCCAAACGGUGUCAUGUCCACACCGGGUAUCUGCAUCGGCAAACCCGGGGCCGCCAAGAAGCGGAACGUGGGAACUUAACCACUGCACCACCGUGCCGGCCCCCCAACAGCCUUCUAAUAAGAGUUUCAGAAGGAGAGAACAGAGAGAAUAGAGGGAAGAAGCCAUCAAAGAAUAAAAUGUCCUGAAGUUGGAGAAUGAGGAAAUCACACAAACACACACACAUCCUACUCCACAUUGUGGCAACGUUUCAGAGAGAUAAAGAGGAAAUUCUAAAGGAUUAAAGAGAGAAAAGAUAAGUUUCAUUGACUUAUACCCUGAGGACUUUCUCCACUCUUCACAGACAGAUUAGAAUCACUGACUAUUGAGCCAGCAAAUAAAGGCUGCAAAUAUUUGUGCCUGGAGCAAGUAUCGUGUGACAGUGGCACCAGGAGGCUCUGUGGAAGUCAUGUCAGCCUCGAGUUCCUAUGCUUGUUGCUAUAAUUGCCAGCUGUUGAGGGCCCAUCAGGUAAGAGCAGAUAGCACAGGGCCCAUUUAUCUUCCAGGCAGUAGGGAUGCCUCCAGACACCCCAGUCCUUCACUGAACCUGCUCCACUUGGAGAACCACCCUCUCCCCUCAUCCUUCCAACAGCUCAGAACCCAAAAAACUCUUUGGGACAGAAGAGGGUCUUGGACGCGUAGAAUUAAAAUCUCCGCUGCAUCAGAAUGGAGGAAGAACAUUCUUGACACGAAGGGAGAGCCGAGGGAAAGGCCUGAGGCUGCUCAGGUUCUGGGAUGCUCAAGUCCCAACUUCCUAUUUCCCUACCUUUCCUUCAAAGGUCCAAGAAGAAGAAAAGAUGUCCACUAGAAGAUCCUCUUGAGAUUUUUAAGUGCU